GAUGAACGCUGGCGGCGUGCUUAACACAUGCAAGUCGAACGAUGAUGCCCAGCUUGCUGGGUGGAUUAGUGGCGAACGGGUGAGUAACACGUGAGUAACCUGCCCUUGACUCUGGGAUAAGCCUGGGAAACUGGGUCUAAUACCGGAUACGACCAUCUGGCGCAUGUCAUGGUGGUGGAAAGCUUUUGUGGUUUUGGAUGGAUUCGCGGCCUAUCAGCUUGUUGGUGGGGUAAUGGCCUACCAAGGCGACGACGGGUAGCCGGCCUGAGAGGGUGACCGGCCACACUGGGACUGAGACACGGCCCAGACUCCUACGGGAGGCAGCAGUGGGGAAUAUUGCACAAUGGGCGCAAGCCUGAUGCAGCGACGCCGCGUGAGGGAUGACGGCCUUCGGGUUGUAAACCUCUUUCAGUAGGGAAGAAGCGAAAGUGACGGUACCUGCAGAAGAAGCGCCGGCUAACUACGUG
rnacentral:rRNA from 1 species